AGGGUAGUAGCUCAAUUGGUAGAGCACCGGUCUCCAAAACCGGGGGUUGGGGGUUCGAGUCCCUCCUGCCCUGC
rnacentral:tRNA from 1 species